rnacentral:lncRNA from 1 species
CUUCUGUGAAAAAGGUCUAAAAAAAGAAUGGUCACUGAUUAACGGAAAUAGCAUCAAUUUUCACCAUUAUUAAAAGGAAUCACUAACCCUGUGUUUGUGCUUAAUUUGAGCACUUUCCCCACUGAAAAUAAACCUCUGGUGGGGCAGCUGGGAGGGCAAAUAACACAUGGUCCGCUUCCUGCCCCCCACAGAGCCUGGUGCUGCCUUUGCCUGCCUGCCUCUCUCCAGGAGGGAAACCCUUCCACACAGCCAGGACAGGGCACACAUCUCCACCAAUGGCAGUUGCCUGGGCCUGUCUUCUUGGAGGAGCUAGAUUUGGCUUUCUGUGAGAACAGAACAGAUCGAGUUUGCCGGCCCCUGGCGUCGCAGUCCUUAACCCAGUCUCAGCUGAAAUGUCCUGGCUGCCAAUGGCAGCACAAGGUCUUUCCUGGAGCCUGCUGCGCUGGUGACGUCCACGCCAUUCUCGACUAACAGCCACCUCCUGGAAGCCCCGGGGGCGCCAUCCCACGCCUGCCCUGCUGGGAGGACUUGGGCUCCCCAGCCGCGUGGCUCCUGCGGUUCCACCCGCCUCUGCUGCCCUAGGACCAGCUCUGCUCCGCAGCCCAGCGCAGAGGGGGCCACCACACCCCCAGCAGAGCUCUUCACACUCAGGACCACGCCACACGUUCAUUUUUCAAAAGUUCAUUUGCAAAACUUAUCUCAAACCACUUUACUUGCAAAAAAUACAGAGAUGAGAAG